rnacentral:lncRNA from 1 species
AGUCCUUGUUUUCAGUGUGGCUGCUGUGGAGCUGCUGUCCCUGUGCCCCGUGUCCGGCAGGCAGGAUAAGAAAAUAAUCAGUAAAGAGAAUACGUAGAGAAGCACAACGCAGUUUCAUCUGUUCCAGAUCCAAGACUCUUUCCUGAAGUCCGGGGGAAAGUGCAUCCUUGUGACUGAAAUCCAAGGCUCAGGAGUUCGUAUCCUCACUGAAGCCCCACAGCAGAACUGUACUUCAGGAAAGAAGUCCUGGGCAUACCAGGUGUUUGCAGCAUUGAAGAGCUCCAGCCCAGCACACACCAGAGACAGCCCAG